GGGCUUAUAGUUUAAUGGUUAAAACGUACCGCUCAUAACGGUAUUACUGUAGGUUCAAGUCCUACUAAGCCCA
rnacentral:tRNA from 1 species